CAGGUUUACCUGUGUGACUGCGUACCUUUUGUAUAAUGGGUCAGCGACUUAUAUUCUGUAGCAAGGUUAACCGUAUAGGGGAGCCGUAGGGAAACCGAGUCUUAACCGGGCGUUAAGUUGCAGGGUAUAGACCCGAAACCCGGUGAUCUAGCCAUGGGCAGGUUGAAGGUUGGGUAACACUAACUGGAGGACCGAACCGACUAAUGUUGAAAAAUUAGCGGAUGACCUGUGGCUGGGGGUGAAAGGCCAAUCAAACCGGGAGAUAGCUGGUUCUCCCCGAAAGCUAUUUAGGUAGCGCCUCGUGAAUUCAUCUCCGGGGGUAGAGCACUGUUUCGGCUAGGGGGCCAUCCCGGCUUACCAACCCGAUGCAAACUGCGAAUACCGGAGAAUGUUAUCACGGGAGACACACGGCGGGUGCUAACGUCCGUCGUGAAGAGGGAAACAACCCAGACCGCCAGCUAAGGUCCCAAAGUCAUGGUUAAGUGGGAAACGAUGUGGGAAGGCCCAGACAGCCAGGAUGUUGGCUUAGAAGCAGCCAUCAUUUAAAGAAAGCGUAAUAGCUCACUGGUCGAGUCGGCCUGCGCGGAAGAUGUAACGGGGCUAAACCAUGCACCGAAGCUGCGGCAGCGACACUGUGUGUUGUUGGGUAGGGGAGCGUUCUGUAAGCCUGUGAAGGUGGCCUGUGAGGGUUGCUGGAGGUAUCAGAAGUGCGAAUGCUGACAUAAGUAACGAUAAAGCGGGUGAAAAGCCCGCUCGCCGGAAGACCAAGGGUUCCUGUCCAACGUUAAUCGGGGCAGGGUGAGUCGACCCCUAAGGCGAGGCCGAAAGGCGUAGUCGAUGGGAAACGGGUUAAUAUUCCCGUACUUGGUGUUACUGCGAAGGGGGGACGGAGAAGGCUAUGUUGGCCGG
rnacentral:rRNA from 1 species